rnacentral:rRNA from 1 species
CCUACGGGAGGCAGCAGUAAGGAAUAUUGGUCAAUGGACGAAAGUCUGAACCAGCCAUGCCGCGUGAAGGAUUAAGGCCCUCUGGGUUGUAAACUUCUUUUAUCUGGGACGAAAAAAGGGUAUUCUUACUCACUUGACGGUACCAGAGGAAUAAGCACCGGCUAACUCCGUGCCAGCAGCCGCGGUAAUACGGAGGGUGCAAGCGUUAUCCGGAUUUACUGGGUUUAAAGGGUGCGUAGGUGGGCUUGUAAGUCAGUGGUGAAAUCUCCGGGCUUAACCCGGAAACUGCCAUUGAUACUAUAGGUCUUGAAUUAUCUGGAGGUAAGCGGAAUAUGUCAUGUAGCGGUGAAAUGCUUAGAUAUGACAUAGAACACCAAUUGCGAAGGCAGCUUACUACGGAUAUAUUGACACUGAGGCACGAAAGCGUGGGGAUCAAACAGGAUUAGAUACCCUGGUAGUCCACGCCCUAAACGAUGGAUACUCGACAUCAGCGAUACACUGUUGGUGUCUGAGNGAAGANAUAUAUCCACCNGAGAGANCGCAGAUAGAACACAAGAAGUAGAGCGNGAGAGNGCCGACGACGACGACGAGGGAGGAGG